GCCCACAUAGUGUAGCCCGGUCCAGCAUUCGGGACUGUCACUCCUGCGACGCGGGUUCAAAUCUCCAUAUGGUUUCCA
rnacentral:tRNA from 1 species